rnacentral:tRNA from 1 species
GGGGAUGUAGCUUAGUGGCACAGCACAUGCUCAGUAUGCAUGAGGCCCUGGGUUUGAGAUCCAGCAUUUCCG